rnacentral:rRNA from 1 species
AUUGAACGCUGGCGGCAGGCCUAACACAUGCAAGUCGAACGAGUGGCGGACGGGUGAGUAAUGUCUGGGAAACUGCCCGAUGGAGGGGGAUAACUACUGGAAACGGUAGCUAAUACCGCAUACUAUCGGAUGUGCCCAGAUGGGAUUAGCUAGUGGGGGGGGUAACGGCUCACCUAGGCGACGAUCCCUAGCUGGUCUGAGAGGAAGACCAGCCAAACUGGGACUGAGACACGGUCCAUACUCCUACGGGAGGCAGCAGUGGGGAAUGUUGGACAAGGGGCGCAAGCCUGAUUCAGCCAUGCCGCGUGUAUGAAGAAGGCCUUCGGGUUGUAAAGUACUUUCGGCGGAGAGGCGGUACCCGCAGAAGAAGCACCGGCUAACUCCGUGCCAGCAGCCGCGGUAAUUC